UUAGCAAUUCAAUUUUACAAUCGAUUAUAGUUGUGUAGAUGAUGAAAUAAUAUUAUAUGUGGUUAAUUUGGAAAUUAAUUUUAAAUAUUUUUUAUAUUAUAUAUUAAUAUGUAUUAUUUAUUUAUCAUCCUUUGUUGUUGAUAUAGCAUACUUUUGUAAAAAAUAUAAUCAAUUUUUUCGACGUGACUGUUUCCCUCCUCAUAGAUAAGGGUGGCAGCACCAUUUUGCCCAGCUGAUAUAUUUGCCAAAUACCCUAAAAUGCUAAGAAAAUGAACAUGUGGCAAUAUCAGCAAAUCAUAACAAAAUAUAAGAAAAUAUUUCGGUCACAAUUUCCAGUCAAAUAUUUUAGUGAAAAUAAAUUUCCGUUUAAAACUACAAGAAAAUAGUUUUCUUUAAUAAUAAGUUUAAAAUUUUAAUUUGCGGCAAAUAAAGGAAGAGCAAUGAGAUACAUUCGUUGUGUUGGGCGAAAAUUACAUGGUACAAACCUAGUUAAUAACUCGUUUAAAACCAUAUAUCCAACAAACAUUUUGAAUAAACCCAGGAAUGAGGUAGCCGUAGUCGUUAUUGGCGCAGGACUUGCUGGUCUGUCGGCUGCAAAUCAUUUAAUUAAAAAUGGUUUCAAACAAACAAUAGUAUUAGAGGCUACUGAUCGAUAUGGUGGACGUAUAAUAUCCAAGCAAUUCGGUGAUGCAUAUUGCGAGUUGGGCGCGAAAUUUGUGCCCAUAAAUGCAAAAGAUGAUACGGUCUACAACAUACUACAAAGUAUGCGAGGACUACCGAAAAAAGUAAUACCAAACAAAGACAAAAUGUAUGUAAAUGCCUUUGGAGAAAAAGUUGAUCGGAAACUACCCGAGUUAAUAGAUAGACUCUACAAGCGGCUUUGUUCACAUAUACAGUUGGAUGAAAAAUACAGAACUGGCGCUAUGGAUGACUUAAAUAAUUUACACACAUAUUUUCAAGCUGAAAAAUCAAGAUUAUUAACAUCCGUUUUCAAUGGAGACGAACGAAAAACUGCAAAUGAAAUAUUCAAUUCACUGAUCAAAGAGUUUGGCAGCUUGUUAGGUUGCUCGCUGGAAUAUGUUAAUAUUGAACAUAUAACAAAGUUGAAAAAUGGUGUAAAUUUUGCCAACUACAUUUACAUACCAACUGGCUUAGACAACAUUUUAAGCGUUUUAACAAAAAAUCUCUGCAAUACGCAGUUGAGAAUUGGCAAGCCGGUUGGUGAAAUCAAUUGGUAUAUACCGCCAGAAAUUGGUGAAAAACGUGUUGCGUGCUUAGAUGGUGACGUUUUUCGCGCAGAUCACAUAAUUUGUACGGUGCCAUUGGGUGUACUUAAAAUAUUUUCGGAAAAUAUGUUCAGACCGUCUUUACCAAGCAACAAAAUAAAUUCCAUAAAAAAACUUGGUUUUGGAAGUCCAGUAAAAAUUUAUUUUGAAUACGAAGGAAAUAUAGACAGCUGGCUGAAGAAUAGUUUGAGGCCAUUAUGGCACACUGGCGCUCCUAACUCAGAUAUGGCAUGGACGAAACAAGUAGUCGAAAUAUCGAAAUUACCCAAAAGUAAUAGAGUGGUUGAAGUAGUUAUUGGCGGUGAAUUUUACGAAAAAAUUGAGAAAUUACCAGAUCUGGAAAUGCUAACCGAAGUAACAAAUCUACUGCGUACAUUGUUGAAAAAUCAAAAUAUUCCUUAUCCUAGUACGAUGUUGCGUUCUAAUUGGAGUUCACUGGCAUGCUAUUUAGGUGGACGCCCUUACUUUUCUACGGGCAGCACAAUAAAUGACGUUUUAACACUUGCCGAACCGCUGGGACCCAUGUCAAGUCUACUGUUUGCUGGCGAUGCAACCAUAGUAGAAGGAUUUGGCACAGUAGAUGGUGCGCACAAGAGUGGCAUUAGAGAGGCGCAACGCAUAAUCGAUCACUACAACAAACACGCGGCUGUUUAAUUCAUAAAGCCGAAGAAAUGAAAUGACAAAUGUGAUAUUUUUUUAAUUACGUUUUAAUAACAUGAAUUUUGAUUUAAAAUUUAUAAAUAGCUUACUUAUUAGCAUAUAACACACAACAUCAAUGCAAAACUGUUAAAAGCAUUAAGUAAAUAGUAUUUGGCUAUAAUAUCAACAACAAUAAUAUAUUUAAGCAUUUAUGUACUAAUGGAAUAUAUAUGGUAGAGAGAAUGUUAGCAGGCAUUCGUUUUCAUUGAACCAAUUGAAGUACAACUUCAGAUGUCAUUAGCAGCUUCACUAACUUCAUGCCAAGAAUAUUCCAUGUCCUCUGGCUUGGUAAAUCUGGAGCAAACCGCCAUACGUAAAAAGUAUACAUCAUUUAUUUUACUUGGCACCAUAUGUAUGUUACCGCGUCCGUUAAUAAGUUUUAAUAGUUUCUCACUCUUAUCAUUAGCACCCUUUAAACGGAAACAAACCAAACCCAUAUUUACAUCGCCAACAAUUUCAAAACGAUUAUCGGCUCUGCAGAGAUCAGCAAACUGUGUAGCGUAGCCACAGUGACGACGUAUGUGUGCCUGUAGAUUUUGCACGCCAUACAAGCGUAGUACAAACCACAAUUUCAAAGCACGGAAACGACGACCUAAUGGAAUUUGCCAGUGUCGGUAGUCGGGUACUGAACCCUGCAUGUCGUGCUUCAAAUACAACGGGUCCACAUUGAAAGCAUUCACCACCCAACUGGGAUCUUUGAGCCACAUAGCACUGCAAUCGAAAUUCACCAACAUCCAUUUGUGUGGAUUAAAAUUAAACGAGUCUGCCGUUUCGAUGCCUUUCAUUAGAUGACGGUAUUCGGGGCAAAUAAAAGAGGCACCCGCAUAAGCAGCAUCCACAUGUAUCCAAACGCCGUACUUGUUGCCAACAGGACCACAUUCGUCCAAGUAAUCGAAAGCACAUGAAUUUGUAGUGCCCAACGUGACAACGGCCUACAAAUAGCAAUAAAAAAUAUAGUAGAAAUAUAUUUGAAAAUAUUAGAGCGGAGAUAUUCUUAUAAAAAGUAGGCGUAUAUAUCCAUAUGUUAUAUGAACAUAAAUUUGCCCAAAAAAAGUAAAAAUAUACACAAUUAUCAUAACACAAAAACAAUUAGGCGAUAUAUUCGUAAGUGUCGAAAUCUAAUGCUGUAUUAAGAAAUUCAAAAUUAUUUAUUUCAAACAUUUUGUACAACAAUACGCUUUGCAACUGUAAUUUAAUAAGCUCUCUCUAAGCUACUUCAACUUUUCUGUAUUGAAAAAAAAUUAUUGUAAAACACGUUUUCUAGUCGGUAACACUAAAAUUUUAGUUACCCAGAAUAAAAUAUAUGAAAAUGGAAAAAAAGAAUAGCUUAUGUCAAAAAAUAUAAAUUGAAAAAAGUAACAAAUUUACCUACUCGAAUAUACAACUAACUUCAUUAAAUAUAAUAAAAAUUAUAUUUUUGAACUCCAUAA